CUCCACACUGUUUGAAGUGAAAGGAUGUGGAAAGAAGCUCAGACUCUACCAAGACACUCCUCCAUUGCUGCUGGUGAGCAUCUCAUGGACAUUCAUGUGGCAGCCUUGCCCAGGGGCAAACCCAUGAAUCACAGAGCCAGAAAUACUUUCAUCUCCACAAGAAAGAAGCUGACAUCAGGUCUAUGAAGACACACUGGAGGAAUUAGAACCACAACAUUAUUUGCAGGUAAACCAGCAUACAUUGAGUUCCACUGCCUUCAUUACGGAAACUGCAUCUGUAACAACUUUGCAACCAGGCAGUACCUGCCCAGGAAAGCUGUCUCCUUCGGAGAGCUUGCAGCAUUGAUCUGGAAGAUGCUAUUAUGGUGUCUCCCACCCAUGCCCAUAGGAUGCUCUCACUCAUUCAGGUUCUCAGCUGCCUGUCAGACUGGGCCAUGAUGAAACUCAACAUCUUGCAGAGACAUAAAAUGGAAAAUAGGCAACUCAUCAGAAAAGUAGCAGCUGUUUUACACCAUCACAAAACAAAAUCAUCAUACACUAAAAACUAGAUUUAGCAGUUUAAAAGAGCCGCUAACACAAAAUUAGCUGGAGACAACAGCGUGAUUUUGUAACUGACAGUGCUUCAUUCAAACGCCCUAAUUCAUGUAAAAACUACUUAGCAAACAUUAAACGCCUGAUGCUUUUGGAAAGGAGGAGAGCAUUCAGACUUUCAAUGGCUGCUUAGGAAGAAUGCAUAGAUUUAUUACAUCUAUUUUUUUUUUCUUUUACAAAUUUUAAAUAAGCAUCAUAUCAAAAGUACCACCUCUUAAAUACCAGUGAUGCUACAGUCCUCCUGACAGAGGGAGACACCAUGCUUUAUUGGUGAGCUAUUGUGUUUACUGGGGGCUGACACCUGUAAAAAGGUUGUACGAGGCUUCUGUGAUGAAUGAGAUGAUAUAAGAAGGCCGUGAGCACUUUGGAUCAUCAAAUACUUCAAUAACUGGAUAUGGCUGUUCAUACAACCGUAAGUUCAUACACAUGGAGAGGAUAUAAAGAAGCAGCUGCCUUCUGAAUGAGCUUUCUGUUGCCUUCUCAUACGUGUACACAAUCUGUUCUAAAUGCCACACAAUCUUUCCUUUGUCCCAGAGGUAUUUCUCAUUGAGGAUGAAAAUUUCCCUGUGCUAUUGCUAUGUCCUGCCCAUAGCUAACACAGCUUCUGAAGGUUAGAAACUUGCCUGGCAAGAAAUGUAUCUAAGUCUAUUGCUACCAGAGUGUAUGUGGCUUGGCCAGAGACCUGUCAUCUAGCAACCAUGAAGGGAUGGUUUUUGAUUGUUUGGAACUAGAUUUAAGUUGUCCAUAUGACUACUAGGAGAAGAACUGGGUUUAUUUUUUCUUUUCUCCCAAAUCAAUCUAACAAUAGCAUCUAGUGCAUUUUCCCUGCCUGUGGAACAGGCUCAACUCCAUUGUCCUUAACAGUCCCUGUGGGUUUUGUAAAGUUAAUAGCUUAGAAAUAGCUUGGAAGAUUAAUAAUAAUACAUACGUGUCAAGAAGGGAAUAUUACCACUGACAGUAAUAGCAGUUAUGCUUGUGUAGAUGAAAUCCACAUGCUUUUCAAGAGAGGCAGGUCUCUGACAGCUCCUUUCUGACCUGAGUUAGUGGGAGCACAUGCAUCAUUCAACAAAACAGUGCUGUCCUAGCUGAGGUGCUUCCAUGUCUCUGCAGUGGUAAACCCCUUUGCACUUCUUGUCUUGGGUGAUUCUCCCAUCAAGUCUCAUCCAACUGCUGCCUGACAAAGCAGUCCUGGUCUGGAUACGGAAUGAGGGAGGGAUAAAUAUUAAGCUGAAGCCUGGCUAUUUGUUCAGUGCAGACAAGUUGUGGCCCUGAAGAAGUCUUUUACCUUCCAAUAAAUUGAAGGGGUGGGGGUGUAAAAUGUUCCACAUCCUUCAAGGUUAUUUUUAUUUAGAUCCCACUCUUCAAAAGACUAUAUAUAUGGAUGCAAGAGUCAAGGUGCAAUCCAAAGUCUGAGAAGUUAUAGACUCCUUGAGACAGUCUCUGAUGGAUCUGAAUUUUUCAGCUAAAGAACAUCUAUGCUCUUGACCUGAGACCUAGAUUUCACAUUUCAGGAAUUAAAUGAGCAUCAUUUUCUAAAAGACAUUAGACCAAGGCUGGGCUACACAAAAGAUAGCUUCAGAAUUUAGAUGAAGACACUGACAUGACAAGGAGACUUAAAACCUGACAUAUUUUGCUUCUGUUGGAAAGCCAUACUUGGUUUGUUACACCCCACUGUGUCUUCUUAUGUACAAGAGGCAAAGUAAAAGUGGAAGUUGUUUUGGACUGAGCAUCUCAGAAGGCAGAAGGCUCAGUGACCUAGAUGAUCUGGCCUUGUCUUAAAUUACUCUCUUCCCAAUUUAUCCUUAGACUGUGCCAAAAACCUGCCAAAAUAUAAUGGAAAUGUUUGCGAUCCCUGCCAAACUGUGAAGCCUCUGGCUCUGAGAUAUUUCAGAUGUCUUGAUUAGUCUGAAAGAGAUGGGCCUGAAAAUAAGGGAGUGUGAAAGGAAAAGUAUUUCCUACCUGCAGCUGCAAAGCUGGGACUCAUGUCCGAGCGUUUGUCUUGCUCCUUCCAUACAGACAGAUGGACUUUCUCAGGAUAGAGUUCAACCUGCUUAAAAAAAAAAAAAAAAAAAAAAAGUUAAAAUUAAAAUUAAAAACAAAAUCAUGAUGGGGCAAGGAGACAAGAGCCUCCUCCCACAAAAGGACUGUAUUCAGCUACAAGCAGUGAACCCCUCACCUUUCCCUUGAUGCAAACGCUGACAUUUUUGCAGGCGUGUCCCAAAAUAGGGUUUUUCCAGAAGGCAGCCAGCUGCCCAGAUGUGCCACUGCUGCAGUCCUGAGGAGAUGAACAGAGGACCUUGCAGCAAGCAAGGAGCAGAGCCUAUGAAGAGACUGACUGCUCUUGUUUCAGAUCAGAUGGAUGGCUCUAAAUGACCUGGAAAGAUGUUCCCAGAGCUCUGAGCCACAGCAUUAAGAGCCAAGACACCACUAGCACUUCUGAAGUUGUUAUUAGUGACUGAAGUAGCACUUGUCAACUGCGACUACAGUUUCAAGCAAUAGUUUAACAGCAUCAACUUGAAGUAAGGUUAUAUCUCUGUGUGCCUGGUGUGCUGCUGACACUUAAAGGAAAUAAUUGGUAGACUUAGAGCAAGGGCAGACGCCAGAGGUAGAACAGUGGUAGAGGUUGGAUACUCAAAGCAUAAUUCAACAAUUCUGCAUGAAACAAGAGCUGAGAAUCCAUUGCAUGCCCUGGCAUAAAAGGCACAAGGAAGCUGUAACCCAGCCUGCAGAAAGUGCUCUGCUCUGCAGUCAUCAGCUGUGCUGCUUGGAUGUUUAAGGGCUCAGCUACAGCUGCAGUCUGCAGCCCUGUCCCAACGAGAGGACAAAAACAUGUUGCCCCUUGCAGUUCUUGGCUGGCUUUUUUGGAAAGCACGUGUAAUGCAAUCUCCAGCUGAUUUCUGGCUUCAGGACAGCAAAGCCAAGAGAAAAUAUAUGGGUAUAUGUGCUUGUAUGCUGUGGAAAAGAAGACAGGAAAUUGUCUGGAAUGAAGCGCUCAGUCUCAUUUUACCUGUAGCUUGGCUGUGGGAUGCUAAAAUAGAGGAAUUAGCAUGCAAAUCCAGCAGUCCCUUGGCUGUCAUCACCUUCCAAUUAGCUACAUUUGAUUUCGGUGGGCGCUGAUGGAUUGUGUCAGCAGGUGAGGCAGUAUGAGGAGAGGUGCUCUGGCUGCCACAGGCAGUAGAGGGCUGUGUGUUUGCCUGCUUUUCCCCCUAUGCUGUCUGCUAGAAUGAUGCUGGCUGCCAAAAGAGAAGCACCGGAGGAACUGAUUCUGAUUUGAAUACGGCCAGCAGGGUUUCAGCAGACCAUGCUAUAGCUGUACAAUGUAUGUGAAUUAGGAGGAUGUCUUCAAAGCGAAGAGUAGCUUGUGUUUGGUGAAACAAUUUGACGAAGCAGAACUGCCAUGAGAAAAGGGCUGCCAGGGGAAUGUAGCCAAGACAGAUGUGACUUGGUCAUACCAAUAAGUUAGGGAAAUUGCAUUUACAGAGCAAUUUUAAAGCACAGGAAUAUGAUCCAAUUUGUCCAGAAAAUUGGAUGUUUCCAUGAAUAAAAGCAAGCAAUCCCAAUCCUCUGCAAGAGUUUUAGUUUUGUGGAGGGCUGGAAAAUUCAGUGUCUUUUCUGUUUGUUCAUUAUGAAUAAAACUCUGAAGGAAACAGACACAUUUUUGGAUAAAAGAAAAAAAGCUCAGAAUAGAUUUAUGAGUCAUUGUCAUAGCAAUAAUAUUUGGGUUUGUACGCAUAGGCAGGAUUGCCAAGAGAAAAGUAUGGGAGCAGAAGAGGCAAAGGAUUAUUAUCUGCAAAGUCAACACAAAAUUGGAGGGUGGGGAUGGAGGUGAAGGGCCUCCUUCAGUCAACAAGAGCAGCAUCAGUGAAGGACUGAGUCACAAAUGCGCAGAAUUCACAGAGCAAGCAAAGAUGUCAAAAGUGGCUGAUGGGUCAAAAGCCUGAGGCUGGCACUCUGCUCUUAGCUUUUGCCCAAGAAGAAAUAGGGGAAGAUUUUUUUUGAGAGUUAUUUCAGUUGGAGGUAUGAUUGGCUACAGAGGACAAAGGAGGUGGAGAAAGAAAACUGUAUAAGCCUAGAGAGGGAAGGGAGCUCCAGAGACGCAUAUUAGACAAGGAGAAAAACUUACAACUUGAAAAAAUAAAGCACAUUAUUGAGAGUGCUGAAAUAGAGAGAACACUGAUAGGUUCAGGAGUAUGAGAAAAAAAUUGAGAGGGGAAACCGAAGAUCAGGACUUGAAAUUAGACUUCUAGGUUAUAAGGAUAUAAAAAGAAAAAUGCUUGACACUGAAAUGGCAGAAGGAGGAAGAAGAGCAGAACAACUUGAUUCAAUUUUCACUUCAGAGAAGUCAGCAAGAGCAUCCAGAGUUUAUUUGUAGAAGCAGUCAUGUAGUGGCAGUGGGAUCUUCAUAUCUCAUGUUGGAUGAUGGGGCACUGGGCAGCCUGCCCUGGUUGGUGACAUCCAGCCCGUGGCCAGGGUUGGGGCUGGCUGGUUUUAAAGUCCCUUCCAACCCAAGAAUCUGUGAUUCUAAACAGUCACUAAAGCUCUAGAGAAUAUGCAGAUAUAAUAAACUAUAUAGCCUUUACACUGAAGUACAGUGGGUACUUUCAGAGUUUUAUAGUACGUGUUUAAGUCACACCUUCACCUCAGGAUCUUCUAAACUCUAUGAACUAUUAGCAGCUGGAAAUGAAAAAUAAGAAAAAACUUGCAGGAAAAAUAUUGCAAUUCCUGUACAAGCUUGUAAAUACUGGUAUUGUAGUGUGCAGGUGGGUGCAUGUGUUUUAUAAUUCCAGAAAGUGACAGGUAGGGGAGCUCUUAUAAAUUUAUUAUUAUGCAGUAAAGCACACCAAAUAUAAGAAAAUAUGCUUAGUUUAGUGUAGGGAAAAAGAGAACAAAAAAUUAUUUUAGAACCUGUCCUCUUUUGUAGAAAUUGGGCUGGAAUUUAACAAUAUAUGUCAAGUGAGGCAAUUGUUUAGUUCUAAAGUAAAAUUCCAGGGAGUACUUUUUACAUUUACACAUGAAUGGUGAGCCAUCAUCUUAAGCUGACCAUGAAUUUCUAAUUUUCCCCCCACAAAAUCUUUCUUUUCU